rnacentral:lncRNA from 7 species
GGGACACAGCACCCCUAUACAGGGGGUCAGAACCCCAAUCUAUAGGGCACAGCACCCCAAUAUAUGGGGACACAGCACCCCCAUACAGGGGGGGACAGAGCCCCAAUCUAUAGGGCAGAGCACCCCAAUAUAUGGGGCCACAGCACCCCUAUACAGGGGGGGAGAUCACCUCAAUCUAUAGGGCACAGCACCCCAAUAUAUGAGGCCACAGCACCCCAAUUUAUGGGGACACAGCACCCCUAUACAGGGGGGGAGAUCACUCCAAUCUAUAGGGCACAGCACCCCAAUAUACGGGGUCACAGCACCCCAAUAUAUGGGGCCACAGCACCCCAAUACAGGGGGGGAGAUCACUCCAAUCUAUAGGGCACAGCACCCCAAUAUACGGGGUCACAGCACCCCAAUAUAUGGGGACACAGCACCCCUAUACAGGGGGGGACAGAGCCCCAAUCUAUAGGGCACAGCACCCCAAUAUAUAGGGACAAAGCAUCCCACUAUAGGGGGACACUGCACCCCAGUCUAUAGGGCACAGCACCCCGAUCUAUAGGGCACAGCACCCCAAUAUAUGGGGCCACAGCACCCCUAUACAGUGGGGGAGAUCACCCCAAUCUAUAGGGCACAGCACCCUGAUGUAUGGGGCCACAGCACUCCCAUAUAUGGGGACACAGCACCCCAAUAGUGGGGGACACAGCACCCCUAUACAGGGGGAGAGAUCACCCCAAUCUAUAGGGCACAGCACCCCGAUAUAUGGGGUCACAGCACCCCAAUAUAUGAGGUCACAGCACCCCGAUGCAUGGGGCCACAGCACCCCAAUCUAUGGGGUCACAGCACAGAGGGGGGGGAGCAGCGCUGGAGUGGAGGCAAUAAACGCUGCAUUAAAUAAAUGAACGCUGUGUGAUUGCAGUGGGGGGGGGGGAAUGUGGCAGCAGCGCUGGGAUGGGGGGUGGCACACAGCACAGCCACACUGUGUGCCAUCAGUGUUGGUGCUGUGCCCACAUGGCCGUGAGCCACAGCCACACUGCGCCAUCGCCACCGCCUUGCCGUGCUCGGUGGCCUCGUGGCACAUCCGUGCCCGGUGCCACCUCCAUUCCUUGCCGUGCCCACAUGGCCACAUGUCACCUCCCUGCCCUGUGCCACUGCCAUCUGAUUGCCCGGUGCCACCUCCAUGUUGUUGCUGUGCCCACAUAGCCACGUGUCACAUCCACGCCCGGUGCCAUCGCCACCUCCUUGCCAUGCUUGGUGGCCACAUGUCACAUCCCUGCCCUGUGCCACUGCCAUGUCCUCAUUGUGCCCCCAUGGCCACGUGCCACCUCCAUUCCUUGCCGUGCCCACAUGGCCACGUACCACAUCCAUGCCCGGUGCCAUCACCAUCUCCUUGCCAUGCUUGGUGGCCUCGUGCCACCUCCAUGUCCGGUGCCACCUCCAUUCUUUGCCAUGCCCACAUGGCCACAUGUCACCUCCGUGCCCUGUGCCACCUCCAUGUUGUUGCCAUGCUUGGUGGCCAUGUGCCACAUCCAUGCUCAGUGCCACCUCCAUGUUGCUGCUGUGCCCAGAUGGCCACGUGCCACUUCCAUGCCCGGUGCCAUCGCCAUCUCCUUGCCAUGCUUGGUGGCCUCGUGGGAUAAUGGGGGGGCAGGGAUGAUGGGGGGCAGGGAUGAGGGGGGGG